AAAAAAAAAUCUUACUGUUAAUAUUUCCCUGUCUUUUUUCUUUUUCCCUCUAUCUUAAUAUUUCCUGUCCUCUUAAUAUUGAUAUCUCUCUCUCGACUGGCCCUGUCUCUGCGGCUCACUCUCUCACCGAUCCGCCCACCAAACGAUGCCGACACCGACGCCGACACCGACGCCGACGCCGACGCCGACGCCAACGCCUUUCUGAUGAAAUGAUUCUCCCACUUCUUCUGUCGCCUCUCACUUUUCCUCGACCACGUCCCCGUAUAUCUUCCUCAAUCUCUUGAAGACGUUGUGUCUUCAUUUUUUUUACUUUGUAUUUUGGGUUUCAGCAUCUUCAAUUUUUUUUAAGGGCUGAUUAUCUUAGGGGUUUAUUGGUAGUGUAUAGUCGCUCACAAUUUCUUUUUCUCUCUUUCACUCUCAUGGAUUCAGGUGCCUCUUAUUCCCCAUUCUCUUUGAGUAUUAUAUAGUUUUAUAUAUAGAAUAAUUAGAAUGUACGAUUUUACAUUUUACAUGUAAGAAUUGUUGUAUUUUGUUCAUUUGGUCUAUUGAAAUCAUAUAUAAUCAUUUUCAAACUCUACGGUGAAUCAAUAAUGAUUUUUUAUGUGAAAUUAUGAAAUUGAAUAUGCUUUUGAAGAGCAGAAGUUCCAAAACAGACCCGUGAGUACUGUAACUAUGUUAUGUUAUUUUGACAUUUUGGGUUAUCUUUGCCGAAGCACUUAUUUUUUAGAAUAAGUUAGGUGUUGGCUAAAGUUAAUUUAUUUAUCUUGUUUAAAUUAUAAUUUAAUGGCUAGCUUGAGAAAAAUAAUUAUAUAAUGUAGAGAAUAUAUUUUGUGUAUAUUUUGUUCCUAGUUGUUAUUUAAUUCUUGACUAUUCUCAAUUACAAACGACCCCUUAGAAUUCUUAUGUGGAUAUCUUGAUUGUGUACAUGCAGUCAGUAAGUGAUCUUCACAAGAAACGUAUGGAUAUGAUACGAACAUAUAUGGAAUCCUCACAGUCAGAAACAAAUACAAUCAAUCAGAAGGAUAUCAGACAAGGGAUUGGUAACCCAGUUGGCGCUAACUACCUUCAGAGACCUUCCCUUAGUUCAGAGCAGUUGAUUUCACAACCAACUGGUUCGCAAAUGUUGCAGCAAAUGACACGAUACUAAUCAAUAUACCUCGUUAUAUCAUACUUUUUUUGGUCUUCUUGCUGAUUGAACACAAGGCCUGUACCUCGCGGCUUUAGCAGCACUCGGCUGUUAUGUGGUCUUGGUUCAGGUUACUUUUAUGGGCUCUGGAAGUUCCUUGUGAUUGUUUAGCAUACUUUUUAACAACUGAAAAUUUGGUUGACAAAAAAGGACCUUAUUCUAACCUCUUUACCUCGGCACUAGUUUGAAACUAGUUUCAUCGAGCAAUGAAAAAAUGUCCUUGAUGGUCUUGUAUUAGAGUAUGAAAAAUCAAGUCAUGGUCCAGGAAAAUGGCAGAAGCUAGCUAUGUUCUUACAAAAAUGGUUUGCAAUGAUUUUUCCUCCUUUUUCUUUUUCAUUUCCUUUUGUUAGAUGUGAAUAGUAUGUAUAUGGGCAUGCCUUUUGAUGUGAAUAGUAUGUAGAUGACAUUGCUUUUAGAGAAGCUAAAGCUGCUCUAGAAAAGGCCGCUGUUGUUCAAGAGCGCACAAGCAAAGAAACACAGAAGAGAGAAGAUGCUCUUAGAGAAGAGUUUGCUUUUACUUUGGCUGAGAAGACGAAGAACUGAAGGAUAAGGCAGUGAAUAUUGAAUAUGAUGAGCAGUGCUUGACUACACUAAUAUUAAAAUUGAAGGCUGCUAAAUCAAUGGUGGCAACUGGCUAUGCCCAUUAGCUAGUGGAGUGUUUAGCUCUGUCCAUCUAUAUUUAUUCUCCAUUUCUCUCCCUUCUGGUUUUGUUGUUUCAGGAGCUAAAGAGAAAGAGCACAGCAGCUGCCACACUCAAGUCACUUCAACAUAAACUUGAGAAAUACAAGAUAGAGUUGAACAACUCGUAUAAGAAUUCUCGAGUAUACUUAUAACUUGUUCAUGUUACAUAGAACUGAUUAUUUAUAAAUUGAGAUUAUAUUUGUAUUUGAUGAAAUAUAUUUUGAUUAAGUUUGCUAUGUAAUUUUUGUCUUUGUAAUAUGUAAAUUUGGUUUAUUUUUUUAUUGUUUACUGUUGUUGGUGUAAUAAAUUUAUAAAAUUGUUAAAUAAAAAAGUUUUUAAGUUUAUUUAAUUUA